rnacentral:rRNA from 1 species
UACGGAGGGUGCAAGCGUUAUCCGGAUUUACUGGGUUUAAAGGGUGCGUAGGAGGGCAGGUAAGUCAGUGGUGAAAUCCCCAAGCUUAACUUGGGAACUGCCAUUGAUACUAUCUGUCUUGAAUACCGUGGAGAUGAGCGGAAUAUGUCAUGUAGCGGUGAAAUGCUUAGAUAUGACAUAGAACACCAAUUGCGAAGGCAGCUCGUUACACGAAUAUUGACUCUGAGGCACGAAAGCGUGGGGAUCAAACAGG